GCCACUGCUAUUGGGGUUCGGCUAAGCCAUGCGAGUGGAGGGCGUCCCGCAAGGGAUGGCCCCGCAGACGGCUCAGUAACACGUCGUCAACCCACCUUAGGGUGGGGACAACCUCGGGAAACUGAGGAUAAUCCCCCAUAGGCGGGGGAGGCUGGAAUGCGCCCCCGCCGGAAGCUCAGGUGCCCUAGGACGGGACGGCGGCCUAAUCAGGUAGUUGGUGGUGUGACG
rnacentral:rRNA from 1 species